rnacentral:rRNA from 1 species
GCUCUGGUUGAGUGGUCCGCCAAUAGGUUGGUACUGCUUCGGCUGGGGCUCUCCUUCUGGUGAGCCGUUAUGCUCUUAACUGGGUGUGGCGAGGAACCAGGACUUUUACCUUGAGAAAAUUAGAGUGUUCAAAGCAGGCUUAUGCCUGAAUACAUUAGCAUGGAAUAAUAGAAUAGGACGUGUGGUUCUAUUUUGUUGGUUUCUAGAAUCGCCGUA